rnacentral:rRNA from 1 species
GAUGAACGCUAGCGACAGGCUUAACACAUGCAAGUCGAGGGGCAUCAUGAAUAUAGUUUACUAUAUUUGAUGGCGACCGGCGCACGGGUGAGUGACGCGUAUGUAACCUACCUUAUACAGGGGGAUAGCCCAUGGAAACGUGGAUUAACACCGCAUAGUAUAUAUUGAAGGCAUCUUUAAUAUAUUAAAUAUUAAUAGGUAUAAGAUGGGCAUGCGUAACAUUAGAUAGUUGGAGAGGUAACGGCUCCCCAAGUCAACGAUGUUUAGGGGUUCUGAGAGGAAGGUCCCCCACACUGGUACUGAGACACGGACCAGACUCCUACGGGAGGCAGCAGUGAGGAAUAUUGGUCAAUGGGCGCAAGCCUGAACCAGCCAAGUCGCGUGAAGGAAGACGGUUCUAUGGAUUGUAAACUUCUUUUGUAUGGGAAGAAUAAGAGGUACGAGUACCUUGAUGCCUGUACCAUACGAAUAAGCAUCGGCUAACUCCGUGCCAGCAGCCGCGGCAAUACGGAGGAUGCGAGCGUUAUCCGGAUUUAUUGGGUUUAAAGGGUGCGUAGGUGGCUAGUUAAGUUAGUGGUUAAAUGUAUAGGCUCAACCUGUAUUUGCCAUUAAAACUGGCUGGCUAGAGUACACGCGAGGUAGGCGGAAUAAGUUAAGUAGCGGUGAAAUGCUUAGAUAUAACUUAGAACUCCGAUAGCGAAGGCAGCUUACCAGAGUGUAACUGACACUGAUGCACGAGAGCGUGGGUAGCGAACAGGAUUAGAUACCCUGGUAGUCCCCGCCGUAAACGAUGCUC